rnacentral:rRNA from 1 species
AUGCAAGUCGAGCGGCAGCGCGGGGGCAACCCUGGCGGCGAGCGGCGAACGGGUGAGUAAUGCAUCGGAACGUGUCCGGGAGUGGGGGAUAACCCGCCGAAAGGCGGGCUAAUACCGCAUAUGCUCUUUGGAGGAAAGGGGGGGACCGCAAGGCCUCCCGCUUUCGGAGCGGCCGAUGUCCGAUUAGCUAGUUGGUGGGGUAAUGGCUUACCAAGGCGACGAUCGGUAGCUGGUCUGAGAGGAUGAUCAGCCACACUGGGACUGAGACACGGCCCAGACUCCUACGGGAGGCAGCAGUGGGGAAUUUUGGACAAUGGGGGCAACCCUGAUCCAGCCAUGCCGCGUGCGGGAAGAAGGCCUUCGGGUUGUAAACCGCUUUUAGCCGGGAAGAAAAGGCGUCCACUAACACUGGGCGUUCUUGACGGUACCGGCGGAAUAAGCACCGGCUAACUACGUGCCAGCAGCCGCGGUAAUACGUAGGGUGCGAGCGUUAAUCGGAAUUACUGGGCGUAAAGCGUGCGCAGGCGGUUCGUUAAGUUUGCGGUGAAAGCCCCGGGCUCAACCUGGGAAUGGCCGUGGAAACUGGCGGGCUGGAGUGCGGCAGAGGGGGGUGGAAUUCCACGUGUAGCAGUGAAAUGCGUAGAAAUGUGGAGGAACACCGAUGGCGAAGGCAGCCCCCUGGCCAAUACUGACGCUCAUGCACGAAAGCGUGGGGAGCAAACAGGAUUAGAUACCCUGGUAGUCCACGCCCUAAACGAUGUCAACUAGGUGUUGGGUGGGUUAAACCAUUUAGUACCGUAGCUAACGCGUGAAGUUGACCGCCUGGGGAGUACGGCCGCAAGGUUAAAACUCAAAGGAAUUGACGGGGACCCGCACAAGCGGUGGAUGAUGUGGAUUAAUUCGAUGCAACGCGAAAAACCUUACCUACCCCUU